rnacentral:tRNA from 1 species
UGGGACGUGGCCAAGUUGGUAAGGCAUCGGGUUUUGGUCCCGACACUCGCGGGUUCGAGUCCUGCCGUCCCAGCCA